UGCGGAGGGUGCUAGCGUUGUUCGGAAUUACUGGGCGUAAAGCGCGCGUAGGCGGACCUGCAAGUCGGGGGUGAAAGCCCGAGGCUCAACCUCGGAACUGUCUUCGAUACUGCGGGUCUCGAGUCCGGGAGAGGUGAGUUGAAUUCCUAGUGUAGAGGUGAAAUUCGUAGAUAUUAGGAAGAACACCAGUGGCGAAGGCGGCUCACUGGCCCGGUACUGACGCUGAGGCGCGAAAUCGUGGGGAGCAAAGAGG
rnacentral:rRNA from 1 species